rnacentral:rRNA from 1 species
GAUGAACGCUAGCGGCAGGCUUAACACAUGCAAGUCGAGGGGCAGCGGGAGAGUGCUUGCACUUUCCGCCGGCGACCGGCGCACGGGUGAGUAACACGUAUGCAACCUGCCCCUGUCAGGGGGACAACCUUCCGAAAGGGAGGCUAAUCCCGCGUAUAUCCUUCUGGGGCAUCCCGGGAGGAGGAAAGGUUUCGGCCGGACAGGGAUGGGCAUGCGGCGCAUUAGGCAGACGGCGGUGUAACGGACCACCGUACCGACGAUGCGUAGGGGUUCUGAGAGGAAGGUCCCCCACACUGGUACUGAGACACGGACCAG